rnacentral:rRNA from 1 species
UUGUGCAUCACCGCGNGGGUCCCCCCUNUGACGGGAGGGCUCGCGUUUUCCACAUAAAACUCGAUNCANUGUAGAAUGUUUCUUUNGCGGUCNCACGCAAUCAAUACAACUUUCAACAACGGAUCUCUUGGCUCUCGCAUCGAUGAAGAACGCAGCGAAAUGCGAUACGUAAUGUGAAUUGCAGAAUUCAGUGAAUCAUCGAAUCUUUGAACGCACCUUGCGCCCCUUGGCAUUCCGAGGGGCACACCCGUUUGAGUGUCGUGAAAUCUUCAAAAUCCUUUUUUCUUUGAACCAUUGUGGCCGGGAAAAGGGGGUUUUGGACUUGGAGGUUUAAUGCUCGCCCUUUCUUUCGRAAGCGAGCUCCUCUCAAAUGAAUUAGUGGGGUCCGCUUUGCUGAUCCUUGACGUGAUAAAAUGUUUGCUACGUUUUGGGUUUAGCUCUGUUCCUUGGAUGCCUGCUCCUAACCGUCUCGAUUG